UUUUUUGGUUUUAGUGCAAAAAAACAAGAGAUUCUUGUCAAGAUGCACAAGACCCUGCGCUGGCGCUGAGGCGGCCGGGCCUGCAAGGUGUUGGCAUCUCGGGGAACGCCGUGGGUCUUCUCUGAUCAUCCUUACUGGAAGGACCCCCUCUCUAACAUAAGGAAGGACUUUUUAUAUUAUAUUUAUUAUGGGUUUUUUAUGUUUUCUCUCCUCAGCGGGAGGCACGGCCCGGGGUGGAGCUGCAGAGGGCAGUGUGGGAGAGGGAAAGCCCGGCCAAGAUGGCGGCGGGGCCGGCGCGCUCGGGCGCUAGAGGGAGAUGGCGGGCUGCGGCUCGAGCAGCUCUCACAAAGCCAAAAAUACGACUUCUGGGGGCUGUUUGGGUUUUUAACCCCCAAAUGGACCCUCCCUGCCCGCAGCUCUUGUGCCGGGCUGCAGAGAGGCGGCAGCCGGCGCCCCUCGGGCGGCCGCGCCUCGAGCUCUGCACAGAUCUCAGCAGCUCCCGCUUCUUAUUUUAGAGCUGAGGGGCUGGGGGGAGAGUCUGGUCGGGAGUUAUUUUGAUAAAGGCAUCUUGAGAAACAUCUUGAGGAACGCAGCAAGUUAGAAGUAAAGGCUGAGGGAAAAAAACCGUACUGUCUGUAAGUUCAUGUGUCGCCUGAGGUGAUGGAAAAAUGAAGUGGGAAAAGGAGCAGGUGCGACAGACUGGGGUUCGCAUGUGUUCAUUUACUUGUCAUAAAAGCAGGCAGCAAACGCUUUGCUUUCUCCGCCAGCUCCUCGGAACGUGGUCCCUGGUGCCCUCAGCCUUCGGGAGGACAGACUGGCAACAGCAGCAGAAAUGCCAGGGAAGGUCAAUGUGGUGACCUGCAGCUCCACAUAAACCCGGUUAAAAGACUGAAUUUGCCUGUCACCAAAAGGCUAAACCAUGAAUGUCCUUGAAUUUGACUUCCAAAAUACCUGCUGCAUGUUGAUGUGUGAACACAGCACUUUGCUGAACCUGGGAAUCCAGCUGAAAAAUAAGAAGACAGCUCUGCAACACCACACCUGUUGGUGGUUGACUUCAGGAAGUUCAGAUGGAUUAUCUGGAAGGCAAAUACAGAGUUAGCACCUCUGAAAUAUCUGGUAACUGAAGACCUGCUGAAGGUAAUAAACUCACUGCUGAGCAUCAGAGGAAUCCCAGGAGUUCCUGAAACUGCAAGAGUUGGGGCAAAAUCACCUAUUUUGGUUGGUUUAGUAAAGAUAAACAGCCACCAGGCUGGGGUUGUGGAGCUCUUGUUGCCUCUGCAGCUCAGUAAGAGACUCUCAGGUUUACAUAGUUUACCCAAGAUCAAAAUGAGCUUAGUAUUCCAAACUUCUCUGUGUAUAUUAUCCAUUGUAUUAUAUCUCCAUCCUGUAGAUCUAUGAAAUCAGUAAACAAGAGAAGUCAUUCUUCUGGAUGGAGAAUGAAACUCUCCUGAUAACUUUAAAAGACAAAACAGGAAGUGUUGUUUUAAAAUGUUUACCCAGGAUGAAGUAAUGGUUUCUAAUGCCCCAGCACAGCCACAGCCUGGGGUGGUUUGCCACAGGGCAGACAGGGACCUGGGACCAUGCCAGCUUCAGGAAGCAGAGUUCAGGCUCUCUGUGAAUCCCAGGGCAUAUUCCAGAGCAAGCCAAGCCAAUAACUGGGUCUUUGCAGUAAUCAGACUUUCAGGUUCUCAAAAUGCUGACACGUAUCAGUCCAGAGGAACCCAAAGACUGAAGAUAUUUUCCUUUGAAAUCUGACCAAAGGCUCCCUUCUCAUAUUUUCCCUGAGGGGAGCAGAAUCCACAAAUCUGGAAGCUCUGCCAGCUUUGGUAGACACAAGUUUCCAAACACUGCUGGUGCUGUAGAGUUAAACCAAAAGCCCUUUCAGGUGAUUUAUGUGUCUGCUCUGCCUGAGAUGUUGUGAAAUCCCUGCAGCCUAAGAGAGUCCGUGGGGAACUGGCCCCUGUUGUCGGAAGAGAGUCCAUUGCAGGAGGCAUUUUCAUUUUGAUUCAUUGCCUUUUUCCAGUGUUUUCCUGGAAGACUUUCAGCAGCUCUAAUUCUGCCUCAUGUGCUUUGAUGGCAGCCACCUCAGGGCCCAUCCUGGCACACUGAACGUGUGCUCGUGGCACUCAGCCCUGGUUUGGGCAGUGCCUAAAGGCCACCACAGAGCUCCAGCUGCUCACUGGGCUAAGGCAUGUGUUUGCUUGUUUAGACUUGCUUAGUUUUGGGUCCGAGUCACCUGUGCCAGGCUCUGUAAGGCAGGAAAAGGUGGCUCCCUAACCUGGAAUGGCCCAACCAAGACUGUGCAAAGACAAGGAAACAGCUUUGCCUUAACGGGAUGGGCUUUGGUGCCAAAGUGUUUUUAGUGGUUUAUGUAUUGCCCAGUUUUUUCAGGCAGUGAAGAAGCACUUUAGGGUAGGAUUUGGUAGAUACUCAAACCAACAGCUUUCAGGUGAGCUUCUCCCACAGGUGGAAGGUGACAGUAAGGGACAAAGUGUGCGGGUUCAUAGGCUGCAGCUGAAGUUUGGAGGGAGCAGGGCUGGGAGGUUUGAUCUGUUCCUUCUCUUACUCCAGUCAUCCUAAACAAGGUCAGGGUACAGCAGGAUAAAUUUAGUAUCUCACUAAACCAUAGAGAGGAGCUGAAUACUUGCAGGUCCACAGUGAAGACAGACCUCUGUCCAUCUUGUGGAGACUGUUUUCAUUCCCAGGAGUCUGGUCAGUCAUGGGUUUUGCUGAUGUCUUGUAUGUGUUGAGCUGAUUGUUUAAUGGUCCAAAUGGCCCCUGGUUGUUUAGUAUCUCUGUAUCUCACAGACUUAACUGUUCUUCGGUUGUCUGGGGUUGUUUUGUAUUUUUGUCAUGUUUGUAAGAGCAGUUUAUAAAUGAGGAAUCCAGUCACAGAAACAUGAAGUUCAGGACUGUAUGGAGCUGCUGAAGGAGGAGGGGAUGAGCCCUCAGCUGUGGUUCCCCAAAUUCAUCCUUUUCCCCAGCCUGGCAGGCACCACUGCAGGGCUGAUGUUUUAGAGACCAAGUACCCAGGUGACUCAGGAAGGAGAGGAGAGAUGCAGAAUAACAUGUCCAGCCCCAGAGCUGGUCGUUUCAAACCAUGAAUAACUCCUGUUUUCCAGGAAUCCAUUCUAACACUACUAGAGCUUAAGCUGCUCUUUACCCAAACAAAAGACUUAUCCCUUCUGGGUUGCAAUGUAGCAUUUCUGCCUGCCCUAAAUUCACUUAAUUUUAACUUAAUCGCUCCGUAUUCUUUAAUGUUUCGGUGAAACUGCCACAUUGCUGUCUCAGCAGUAGUAGUGAGGAGUUGAAAGGAGCUAAUCAUGCUGUGUAGCUCAAUGCCUUGUGGUUUAUUAUUAAGAAUAAAGACAAGCACUCCCCUAUUUUAUCUCUAAUGUGCAGUUUACUUAAUUCCUAAUCCUCUGAAGAGAUGCUGUUCUUCCAAACGGUUUGGCUUCUGCCUGGCUUUCAAGCUGCACAUGAAACUUAAAAGCUGAACUGCUCGGUGCUGAGAGAAUUUUAAUAAAUGCAUGCAUAAGUCAGUCUCCAUUAGCUGCUCCUUAAACAUUCAGGGAGAGAAGUUUUCCUGGUGUGCUUAGUUGGAAUUAUUGCUUUGCUGUUGUGUGGAAUGGCCACUGAGUCGAGAUGCUGAGCAAACACACCCACAGACUGAGAGCUGAGUUCUUUAAGUGUUGGGAACUGUCUGAAAUACCUGUCCUUCCUCGGCUGCCAGUUCUUUUCUUAGCCUGACUGCUGCCUCCUCCCUGAUAUUUCCAUAGCUCCUGCCUCCUCCCCGUUAUUUCCCCAGCUCCUGCUAAAUCUGGCUGCUGAGUUCACUGAGGACAGGGGGCUGUGGGACGAGUUAACGAGCUCUGCAAGCAGCUACAUCAUUACAGUGAUACUUCUCUUUCUUUUCAAUGUGUUACAGUGCAAAGGUAUUUAGCAAACAGUUUAACAAGCUUCGUCUGCAGAAUUUUGACAUUGUUGUGUUUUCACUUGUGGAAGAACUUGUCUCUGUUCAGCCUCUGGAAUAAAAGCUCCAAAAAUUCCAUGAUGACCUCUGUACUCAGCUUAAAUUUUCAAACUGCACAGAGUCACCCAAGCUCAUCGUUUUAGAGUAUUAUUUCCAUUGCCCCUCUCUUUUGGGUGCAUUUAAUUUUAGCCUCUUGCAAUUUUCCUGUUUCACCAAUAGCCCCCAGAUUCAUCUUGCUCCACUCAGCUAAUUGGAUCAACACAUUAUAUUUAUUGUAGGGUAUUGAUUUGAUAAUACCAAUCUUCCACUCUUAACUGUAAUCUCAUAUUUCUCUGCCCUCAAAGCAGCCCUGCUAAAUGUCCCCCCUGCCCCACCUUUGCACUUGGACUUCAUAUAAAACCACAGCAAUGAUUAACAGCCCUGAAGCCACUGAUGCUCUGCCCUGCAGGCCCCUUCAGGAGCACUGAAGGCUGAGGCAAAGGUGUUGGAUUUCCCACAUCUCCUAAUGGCUGCUCCAUGCUGACAGAAAUGACCUCCCAAAAUCUGGAGCUUGUGUUUCUGCAGGUGGUUAGUCACCUGGGUGCUUAGCCUUGGUACCUUUGGAGGAGGUUAAAUACCUCGAAUAUUUGCUUGCCUGUACUCACUCUUCAAUGUUCAGACUUCUGGCAAGAGCUCAACAUCCCAGUUCCCUGGUGACCUGUGGAAAUCUCUACCUAAGUGUCUAAAGCAUAUAAAUCUUCAGCUUUUCAUAGAGUCAAGAAAUGUUUUCAAUGAGACAAAGUCUGAUUCACUGAAAUGAGCAGCUUUUCAGGAACUGUGGCAAACAGAAUCUUUGUGAUCCUCUGUGUAAAGCAAGUGCUUUGCUGUGUGACAGUCAGGGUGCAGGUUCAGGUACUAUGGACUCUGCAGAGUUUGAAGCUUCAUGUCCAUCUUUAUUUUGACUCCUGAAAAACCACAUUCAUUAUGUAGACUACAUUCUCUGAAAGGCUGGAAUUGUGCUCUGCACUGGCCAGGGGUUUUCCUCAGCUUCUCCUCAAGUGAGCUGAGACUUCCUCCCGCCUGAGCUGCCUUUGCUUGUCUAUGGGUGCCCCUGACCAUGGUGAGGCUCCAUCAGCCAUCCUGCCCCACACCAAGGCUGAUCCUUUGCAAGGAGCUGCUUGCCCUUGGGAUCCUGGCAGAUCUCCCAUCUCCUCCAAAACAGGACUGCAACAAUGCCUUGUUUUGGCAGAGGGGAAACGGGAAGCAGAAUGGUCUGUUUGUCCCUUGGUUACAGCACGGUGAUAAUAACACCAAGGUUGUGGGUUUAAUCCCUGUCCAGGCCUGUCAUGGAAGAGUUGGACUCGAUGAUCCUCGUGGGUCCCUUCCAACUCAGAGGAUUCUGUGAUUCCAUGAAACCUGCUGUGCAGUCCAGAGCAGAGGCUGAUGUGCUCACACAGGGGAGAGCAGUCUCCAGGUGUAGGCAGCUUCAUUUUCUGUCUCACUUUGCAGUUGUCACAGUUUUAAAGAAUAUUUUCAUUAUUCUAUGGCAGUUGUAAGACACUUCCAUGGUUUGACAGCUUCUAUGCUGGAUAACUACUCAUCACACAGAUGAAUUUCUCUUUCAAUAUCAACAUUUCACUUUUCUGAGAUCCAAAGCAAGGAGAGGACAACCAUCAGGAAGUAACGGGCUGUAAACACGAGGAGUGGGAAUGCUGUCACAGGGAUACCAAAGGAAGAUGUGAUUGUGAGGGAGUGGGGUUUUUUGUGCUAUUUGACAUUACAUUGGCUAAGAAUUUGGUUAUGUGCUUCAGAAUCACUGCUGAGAGGGGAGGGGGAAACACAGCAGAAAAAUUGCUGGUUGUACCUUGCCGAUGCCUAAAAUCUUUCUGACAUAGUACCUGCUCAACCUUAGCUAUUCCUUGAGAAAAUAAACCUUUUUCACUUCUUUCUGUUGUGACAGGUUAUCUCUGACUGAAGUUUUACUUCUAUUUAUUAAUAAAGAAAUGCAUUUCCCCCUCAGAGAAAAGAAUUACUUAUCACUACUCUAACUUGCUAAUUCUUCUCACUUCUCUGAAGGAACAGUGCAGUAGCUGACAGCAGUUUUUGGGAGGCCCAGCCCUGGGACUGCAAACAAAUGUGUGUUCAGUCUGGGAUUCUGUCUCCAAACAGCAGCAAGGCUCCUGGAAUGGGAGUGUAAGUUAAUUUAGGUCAAGACUUACAAGGAGUGGCUGAGGUGCCUUGUCUUGUUCAGCCUGGACAAGAGGAGGCUGAGGGGAUCUCCUGGCAGCUGCACCUUCCUUGAGGGGAGGUGCUGAUCUCCUCCCUCUGACCAGGACAGGACACGAGGGAACGGAGUGAAGCUGCCAGAGGAAGUUCAGGUUGGACAUUAGGACAAGGCUCUUCUCUGGGAGGGUGGUUGGUCCCUGGAACAGGCUCCCCAGAGCAGUGCUCAUGGCACCAAGCGUGACAGUUCAAGGAGCAUCUGGAGGACACUCUUUGUCACAAGGUUUAGUUUUUGGUAGUCCUGCAAGGAGAGGGGAAUUGGACUUGUUGAUCCUUGUGGGUUCCUUAAAACUGGAGGCAUUCUGUGAUUCAGUAACGUACCAUUCUUCUGACUUUGUGACGUAAAUGCUUUGCAAGACAAGCAAGCACAUCAGACCAUCUCUGCCACCUGGAGCCAGUGGAUCUACUUUUGGGUGGAGAGGUCAGGCAGGUGUUCAUGAUUUGUGUAGAAACAGGCCUGGCAGCACCCACAUCACAGGACAGGAAAAAGGCUUUGCUAAACAGGUUGCUGUGCAGUGAAUAAAUUUGUUUUAAAAAACAGAGCUUGCAAAUUAGGUUUUAUUUCUCAUAAUAGCUUCUGUAGAACUGAAGUCAUGCUUGGCAAUUACCUGAGGAGCAUGAAUGUCCUCUGGUACAACAUUGUCCAUGACAGUGGGCUAUUACUUCAUGUCAGAGCAGCUGAAAAACAGAGUUUUGCACUGUUUGGUCAGGGGAUUGGUGUUAAAAGCCAGAUUAUUAUGAAAAUGGGGAAAGUUUUAUAGGAAUGGAAGUGUCCAGUUGUGCAAAAAUAAGAGCUAACAGGUGGCUAGUGCUAACCAGGCAAAUAGGAAUAAAUGAUGGUUUGGAUGCAGAGCUGUUGCCUUGUUGAAGAUAUCUAGCAAUUUAAUAAGCUCCAGGAACAUAAGAAAUUCCUGAGGGGCCAGUUCUGCAAUGCACUCUGCAAAUGGACUUAAUUGAGUGAUAAUGAGGCUGGUUAUAGGCAACUGUUCACUUAGACCAGCUCUUUACAUGACUGGAUUCAAACUCAUGAGUGCAACGUGGAUUAGAGCAGUGCUUAAAGCAUUUCAGUAUCAGAAAGCCAUCAGAAAUAAAGCAACAAAAAUCAACAAUAAAUAAAUAAAGCAUAAAUAAUCCUUAUUUAUGCUUUUUAACAUCACGUUACCUUGAAAUGCACCUUCCUGCAAAUGGGUGGCUGAACCCAACCUGCACCAGAAAUGUUCCCAGUCAGUCCUGGAUGUUGAUCAUGUUAUGAUCUGGCUCAGAAAUGCUCCUGUUGAGAAAUGGUGUGUCAGUCUGUAACUAAAAAUGACCUGAGAGGAGGUUCCACAGGGAGAGGUUUGAGGUGGGCUCCUGCUCUCUGGCAGCUUCAAGGAGCCAAUGGGCUGCUGAAAUGGUGGCACACUCUGUGCUCCUGCAAGUAAUUGAUUUUAUUAAUAAAAAGUAAUAUGUUCUUAACAUCCUUAAA